rnacentral:ncRNA from 1 species
UAAAAAGCGUUGAUGAGAAGGAGUAAAAACGUGUAACCGUUCAGAGAGAGAACCAUUAGCUGGAAGGUUCUUCGGUAGCCGUUUUGAACGUCGUCUCUGAGCUGCUAUAGCCGGGUCAUACCCGUUAUCAAUGUCGAGUGUCCUAAGAUUGCGUUUUUCUUUCUUGGGAAAUUCAGGUGGUAACGCGGAAAAAGCCUUUCGUCCUGAAG